CCAUUUGUCUUUUCAGUGCAGUAAUUACAGCACAUGGGUGCUCACAUCGGUAAUUGUGAGAGGCUGAAGGCGGGUGCAGCUCGCACUAAAGGUUUUAUUGCGGCUCUCCCCGCGGACCCGCUGGGUUUUGGCUGGGGCUGCCAUGAGCAGGGAGGCUGCUGAGCUUCUCAUUAGCAAAGCUCAUUAAAAUUGCAGCGGGGGAAGGAAACCGGCCUUGUAUCUGAGCGAGGAGCCGCUGCCAACGAACGCAGUGUCGCAGCCUUUAUCUCGUUCUGGCGAACGUGAGCGCUCCCGAUCUGCCGAACUCACCGCAGAACGGAGCGCGGGGCGAGGCGGCCCCGGAACCAAAGAGCGCGGCCCGGCUGCCGCCCGGCCCCGCGCGCGGCGGACAGGGGCGGGAGGCGGCCCCGGCGGCGGGAGCCCCGCUCGGGGCGGCGGAACCGGCGGGUGAGUCCCGGAGCUGCCAUGGCCCACGGCCGCUCUCGGAAGCGAUCGCGGAGCAGGAGCAGCAGCAGGAGCAAUUCCCGGAGCAGGCAGGAGAGGAAGGAGAAGAAAAGGAGGAAGAGCAGCAAGGACUCGCAGCGGGGCAGCAGCUCUCCAUCAAGGAAGAAGAUCUCUGGCUCUCAUGGACACAAGUCAAGCUUGGCAGCAGCCAAGGAAGAAAAGAAGAAGGAAGGAAAGGACAAAAAGAAGAGGAAGGCCAGUACCUCUUCCUCUGGGAAUUCUUCAUCCACCAGCUCUUCGUCAUCUUCCUCUUCCUCCAGCUCCUCUUCUGAUGACUCCAGUGACAGUGACUCCAAAAUGAAGAAGAGUCAAGACAGCAAAAAAAAGCGAGUGAAACAGAAAGACAAAAAGAAGAGGAAGAAGAAGAAGAAAAAAAUAAAGAAGAAAUCAAAAAAGAAGGCAAAGGAGAGGGCUAAGGAGGAGAAAGGCAAGGGAGAAGAGGUGCCUGGCCCCUCACUGGAGCAGUGGCAGAAGGAAUCAGGGGUGGACCCUGGGCCAGUUCUGACAGAUGAGCAGAAAUCCCGGAUCCAGGCUAUGAAGCCGAUGACAAAGGAGGAGUGGGACGCGAGGCAGAGCGUCAUCAGGAGAGUGGUGGAUCCCGAAACGGGGAGAACCAGGCUCAUUAAAGGGGACGGGGAAGUCCUGGAAGAAAUUGUCAGCAAGGAGAGACACAAGGAGAUUAACAAGCAAGCCACACGUGGGGAUGGGCUGGCCUUCCAGGUGAGGACAGGGAUGCUGCAGUGAGGGCAGGCACCAGCCAGCCCAGGAGCCUGUCCUGCUGCCCUGCAAGCCCAGGGAGCCUCUGCCUCUGGAUCAGCACCGUGUCGAGAUGUUCCCCAGGGGCCCUUUCCAGCUGCUCUCACACCAGGCAUUGGAACGAUGCACUAACAGCAAGGAGGAGAAGGAAGUUGUACAGAAGGUUUGCCACACACAAGCGAGUCAUCGGCACGGCACAGGCGGGGCGGAGCCGGCGCCCUCGGGCAUCCCCCCCGCUGCUUCCCCACGCACAGCUGGUACCCCUAGAGCAAUUUUUUAUAAAUAAAAUAUAACUAACAUUGUUGGAAUAUAAAAUUGACAGUCGAGGGUAUCAACAGGCAGAGGGAGGGGACCGUAAGGCUUCUAGAACUAAUAGGAAAUGCAGCAAACAGUGGCGAUACCUGAAGAAGGGGCUGCUACAGCAAGCACGGCGGCUGCUGGGCGGGUGGGAGGGUGGUGGUGGUGACCCUUUGGCUGAUUCCUGCUCUGGGCUCCUGCCCCUGACUCUGUAAACAAUUUUUGGUAUUAGGAUUUUGCCUCAUCUGACUGAGUGAUCUGAGCAAACUUAGGAAAACGACUUGGAGGGAAUGCACGGGCUCCUCUCAUUGAUUUCUUAAAAGACUUUAAAGGGACAGCGUCAGGUAGAAAGUCUGGCCUAAGGGUGCAGUAAUAUAAAAAGCUGCUUUUCAUAAAAAAUCUGAGCUCUGCAGCAGAGUUUGAUUCCCAUGGAAACAGAAAAGCAGCCCCAAAGCCCGAGGCUGUGUUGUGCUGAUGUGCAGAACAGGACGUGGGCUGUCACCGAGGGCUGCCCAGACAACGGCAGAGGGAGGAGGACAAGAAACUUCCCAUUCUCUCCUUUCAAAGCAAACAAGUUACUCAUAACAAGGAUAAAUCAGGUCUUUUCCCUGAAAGUGCCCCUUUACUAAGGAUGGAAUAUACAUUCAUCUUUCCCUCACCACGUCCAAACGGAUCCUCUUCCAGACAUGGGGAAAGGCAUCGGGUCACAUGCAUUGCUCUCCAAAACAGCUUGGGACAAACAGGAUAUAAACACAGAGUGAAACUAUUGCUAUUGUUCUGUGAGUGUUGAUCUCUGCUUCAGAGGGAUGAGUGCCAGAUGGGGGCGGCUGAGGAUUGAGUGAUGGAGAUGGGGAUGGACUGAGUCGGUGAAGAAAAACUUACUGGCAUUAUUUCCUGGUGACUACACCCACCUCCCCAGGUAUUAUUGCAGCAAUAAAGGUCCUGCUCUACAAUUGCCUCUCCGUGUUGGAUCCGUACAAUGGCAGCAGAUGGGGGGCCAGAGAAAGGUUCAAGAAGCUCACAGAGGAUGAGGACAGAGGUGCUGUGAUUGUCAGGCUAACUGGUUAGGAGCUGUUGGAAACAUGAAGUGAUGGAGAGGGUGAGUAUCAUAUUGCACUUCUGCAUUCAUUGACAGUUACAUUAAACUUGGUCCAUAAAAUAAUUGCUUUGUACAUAAUGCCUGAAACAAAAAGCUACAUUUUUUAAAUAUUAAUAAACCCUGAAGGUUCCAGUCCCUCCAGACAUUUUUUUUCCUCUACAUAAAUAAAUAACUUUCGAUUUUAUAUAUCCACUUUUUAUGUUGAACAUUUACAUUCGCCUCUGUUUUACACUAUCUACACAUAAGAAAAUGUGAACAUCUCAUCAACACUGGAAAAUGUACAGAUCAUGCCUCGGUUCUGGACUUGGAGGAAAAGUGAAUUUUGCAAAGGCCAUAUCCAAAUUUGCAGAAAUUAUUUAGUGAUGCGGUUUGGUGACUUCACAGGAUGGAUUGUGGCUUGGCUUCCUACUCAGAUGGCAUCUGUUUGAUAGAACAUUCGGUUAGCAAAAAGCUGGGACAAAUUCACAUUGUUUUCAAACCCAGUAAAAGCUCUGGAUGUACAUUCAGAGAGAGCCAAGCUGAGUCAGCAGAAAGGGAAGUCAGUUUCCAGUAACAAAAAGUCACCAGGUACAUUCUGUAAUUGGCUAAUUACCAAAGAGAAGUCAUUUUGCAGUCGGGUCUGAGCGCUCCUGGGGCCGGUGGCAGCUCUGCACUGUCCCUGCUCUGCCUCGGCCUGGACCCUCCACACCACGAACAAUGAUUGGAUGAGUUGAUUUGUCUGCCGUGGCCCAGAGCAGUGAGCAGAGCAGCGUUCACAGUGCUGUGUAUCUCAGUGCGGCCGUCCUGCACCGUUCUUAUUGAAACUGGUAAGAAAAUGAAGCAGCCAGUCUAAAAAAUUCUCUGUUAUAAAUAAGAUCCUCGUAAGUAGAAAGUGAUAUAAAGACAGGAAAGUGUGGUGGGGAAAGCAGGGAGCUUUACACACAGUCGGGGAGCUCGGUAGGAUUAUAAAAUCUCCAUGUGAAGAGGCCAACUGGAGUCUGUGAAUGGGCACCCCAGAACCCCCUGUGUGGGUGCCCCUCUGCCCCAGGAGGUGUGUGCAAGGAGGGAACCUUCACUGGCCCCGGGAGGGACAGGACUGAGGGGCUUUUUGGCAAGCCCUGGCUGCAGGCACUGUUCUCUGUCCCUGUCUGGGUGUCACCAGCUGCCAGCCCUCUGCCACGCGCCCACCAGCUCGCUCCAGCAGCACAAACCCAGCGCCUCAGGCACAUCCACUGAGAAACAAACCAGAAAAAUUAAGAUAUGGCCUUUUCUUAAGGUUGCCUGACAUUGUUGGCACACUUCCUUACAGUCUCCUUACUGCUGGAAAAACUUCUGCACAGAUUGUUUGUGUUUUUUUUAAAUAUAUACAUAUAUAUAUAUAUAUGUGUGUGUGUGUGUGUAUGUAUAGAUAUCCACACACACCCUGGCUUAGCAAUAUUUCAUUGUCAUGCACUACAGACACUGGUGUAGCUACAUGAGAUGGUAACAGGUUUCCAUUCUAAAAAUCAUCAGUGCAAAAAACAAUGAGGUUUUACAGUUCAGUAACUAUAGGUAAAAGAAGCAAGUCUAGUUCCCAUGAAAGCUGCUACUGAACUUGGAGAGAACCUGGGAAGAAAAAAGGUCUCAGAGGUGGGUGUUGAGAGAGUCAGACCCUGCAUUUGGAUGAGAAGAACUGCAAUGCAAUCCAGCUGCUGAGUGCCUUCAGCUCCUUCCAAAUAUAUGGUGGUUACUUGUUGGAAAUAAUACAUAGUGAGACUAUUUGGAGACUUUAACAGCAAAUUAAGUGUCUGAGGUUUGUAACAGCUCAAACAAAAUAGCUUGUGUUCCUCUUUUAAUAGUCAACACAU